rnacentral:rRNA from 1 species
AAGUCGAACGGUAACAGGCCGCAAGGUGCUGACGAGUGGCGAACGGGUGAGUAAUGCAUCGGAACGUGCCCAGUCGUGGGGGAUAACGCAGCGAAAGCUGCGCUAAUACCGCAUACGAUCUAUGGAUGAAAGCGGGGGACCGUAAGGCCUCGCGCGAUUGGAGCGGCCGAUGUCAGAUUAGGUAGUUGGUGGGGUAAAGGCUCACCAAGCCGACGAUCUGUAGCUGGUCUGAGAGGACGACCAGCCACACUGGGACUGAGACACGGCCCAGACUCCUACGGGAGGCAGCAGUGGGGAAUUUUGGACAAUGGGCGCAAGCCUGAUCCAGCAAUGCCGCGUGCAGGAAGAAGGCCUUCGGGUUGUAAACUGCUUUUGUACGGAACGAAACGGUCCUGGUUAAUACCUGGGGCUAAUGACGGUACCGUAAGAAUAAGCACCGGCUAACUACGUGCCAGCAGCCGCGGUAAUACGUAGGGUGCAAGCGUUAAUCGGAAUUACUGGGCGUAAAGCGUGCGCAGGCGGUUUUGUAAGACAGGCGUGAAAUCCCCGGGCUUAACCUGGGAAUUGCGCUUGUGACUGCAAGGCUGGAGUGCGGCAGAGGGGGAUGGAAUUCCGCGUGUAGCAGUGAAAUGCGUAGAUAUGCGGAGGAACACCGAUGGCGAAGGCAAUCCCCUGGGCCUGCACUGACGCUCAUGCACGAAAGCGUGGGGAGCAAACAGGAUUAGAUAC